AGGACGAACGCUGGCGGCGUGCUUAACACAUGCAAGUGGAGCGACGAACCAGGGCUUGCCCUGGGGCAGAGCCGCGAACGGGUGAGUAACACGUGGGUUACCUGCCUCGAUGACCGGGACAACCCGAGGAAACUCGGGCUAAUACCGGAUGUGCCCGCAAGGGGAAAGGAAGCUUCGGCCUCCGCAUCGAGAUGAGCCCGCGGCCCAUUAGCUUGUUGGUGAGGUAACGGCUCACCAAGGCGACGACGGGUAGCCGGCCUGAGAGGGCGACCGGCCACACUGGGACUGAGACACGGCCCAGACUCCUACGGGAGGCAGCAGUGGGGAAUAUUGCGCAAUGGGCGAAAGCCUGACGCAGCGACGCCGCGUGGGGGAUGAAGGCCUUCGGGUUGUAAACCCCUUUCAGCAGGGACGAAGCGAAAGUGACGGUACCUGCAGAAGAAGCGCCGGCUAACUACGCGCCAGCAGCCGC
rnacentral:rRNA from 1 species